rnacentral:rRNA from 1 species
CCUACGGGAGGCAGCAGUGGGGAAUAUUGCACAAUGGGCGCAAGCCUGAUGCAGCAACGCCGCGUGAGGGACGAAGGCCUUCGGGUUGUAAACCUCUUUUAGUAGGGAAGAAGCGACUGGGUUUUCCUGGGAGUGACGGUACCUGCAGAAAAAGCACCGGCUAACUACGUGCCAGCAGCCGCGGUAAUACGUAGGGUGCAAGCGUUGUCCGGAAUUAUUGGGCGUAAAGAGCUCGUAGGCGGUUUGUCGCGUCUGCUGUGAAAACCCGAGGCUCAACCUCGGGCCUGCAGUGGGUACGGGCAGACUAGAGUGCGGUAGGGGAGAUUGGAAUUCCUGGUGUAGCGGUGGAAUGCGCAGAUAUCAGGAGGAACACCAAUGGCGAAGGCAGAUCUCUGGGCCGUAACUGACGCUGAGGAGCGAAAGCAUGGGGAGCGAACAGGAUUAGAUACCCUGGUAGUCCAUGCCGUAAACGUUGGGAACUAGAUGUGGGGACCAUUCCACGGUCUCCGUGUCGCAGCUAACGCAUUAAGUUCCCCGCCUGGGGAGUACGGCCGCAAGGCUAAAACUCAAAGGAAUUGACGGGGGCCCGCACAAGCGGCGGAGCAUGCGGAUUAAUUCGAUGCAACGCGAAGAACCUUACCAAGGCUUGACAUAUACCGGAAACGGCUGGAAACAGUCGCCCCGCAAGGUCGGUAUACAGGUGGUGCAUGGUUGUCGUCAGCUCGUGUCGUGAGAUGUUGGGUUAAGUCCCGCAACGAGCGCAACCCUCGUCCUAUGUUGCCAGCACGUAAUGGUGGGAACUCAUGGGAUACUGCCGGGGUCAACUCGGAGGAAGGUGGGGAUGACGUCAAAUCAUCAUGCCCCUUAUGUCUUGGGCUUCACGCAUGCUACAAUGGCCGGUACAAAGGGCUGCGAUACCGCAAGGUGGAGCGAAUCCCAAAAAGCCGGUCUCAGUUC